UAAGGAGCUUGCUCCUUUGACGUUAGCGGCGGACGGGUGAGUAACACGUGGAUAACCUACCUAUAAGACUGGGAUAACUUCGGGAAACCGGAGCUAAUACCGGAUAACAUAUUGAACCGCAUGGUUCAAUAGUGAAAGGCGGCUUUGCUGUCACUUAUAGAUGGAUCCGCGCCGUAUUAGCUAGUUGGUAAGGUAACGGCUUACCAAGGCAACGAUACGUAGCCGACCUGAGAGGGUGAUCGGCCACACUGGAACUGAGACACGGUCCAGACUCCUACGGGAGGCAGCAGUAGGGAAUCUUCCGCAAUGGGCGAAAGCCUGACGGAGCAACGCCGCGUGAGUGAUGAAGGUCUUCGGAUCGUAAAACUCUGUUAUCAGGGAAGAACAAAUGUGUAAGUAACUGUGCACAUCUUGACGGUACCUGAUCAGAAAGCCACGGCUAACUACGUGCCAGCAGCCGCGGUAAUACGUAGGUGGCAAGCGUUAUCCGGAAUUAUUGGGCGUAAAGCGCGCGUAGGCGGUUUUUUAAGUCUGAUGUGAAAGCCCACGGCUCAACCGUGGAGGGUCAUUGGAAACUGGAAAACUUGAGUGCAGAAGAGGAAAGUGGAAUUCCAUGUGUAGCGGUGAAAUGCGCAGAGAUAUGGAGGAACACCAGUGGCGAAGGCGACUUUCUGGUCUGUAACUGACGCUGAUGUGCGAAAGCGUGGGGAUCAAACAGGAUUAGAUACCCUGGUAGUCCACGCCGUAAACGAUGAGUGCUAAGUGUUAGGGGGUUUCCGCCCCUUAGUGCUGCAGCUAACGCAUUAAGCACUCCGCCUGGGGGAGUACGACCGCAAGGUUGAAACUCAAAGGA
rnacentral:rRNA from 1 species